AUUGAACGCUGGCGGCGUGCCUAAUACAUGCAAGUCGAGCGAACAGAUAAGGAGCUUGCUCCUUUGACAUUAGCGGCGGACGGGUGAGUAACACGUGGAUAACCUACCUAUAAGACUGUGAUAACUUCGGGAAACCGGAGCUAAUACCGGCUAACAUAUUGAACCGCAUGGUUCAAUAGUGAAAGGCGGCUUUGCUGUCACUUAUAGAUGGAUCCGCGCCGUAUUAGCUAGUUGGUAAGGUAACGGCUUACCAAGGCAACGAUACGUAGCCGAGCUGAGAGGGUGAUCGGCCACACUGGAACUGAGACAAGGUCGAGACUCCGACGGGAGGCAGCGGUUGGGAAUCUUGCGCAAUGGGCGACAGCCUGACGCAGCAAGGCCGCGUGAGUGAUGAAGGUCUUCGGAUCGUAAAACUCUGUUAUCAGGGAAGAACAAGUGUGUAAGUAGCUCUGCACAUCUUGACGGUACCUGAUCAGAAAGCCACGGCUAACUACGUGCCAGCCGCCGCGGUAA
rnacentral:rRNA from 1 species